UACGUAGGGUGCGAGCGUUGUCCGGAUUUAUUGGGCGUAAAGAGUUCGUAGGUGGUUCAUUAAGUCUGGUGUUAAAGACCGGGGCUCAACCUCGGGAUCGCACUGGAUACUGGUGGACUGGAGUGCAGUAGAGGCAAGCGGAAUUCCAGGUGUAGCGGUGAAAUGCGUAGAUAUCUGGAAGAACACCGGUGGCGAAGGCGGUCUGCUGGGCAGUUGCUGACACUGAGGCGCGACAGCGUGGGGAGCAAACAGG
rnacentral:rRNA from 1 species